rnacentral:lncRNA from 1 species
UGAGCCCUGGUGCCUUUGUUUGUCAUAGGUACUUUAAACCUAAUCUCUUUCCUGAUGAAUGCUCUGCAUUCUGUUGUCUGGUUUUUGGAAUGUUUUAUUUAAACAUUAGCUUGGCCUUGAAUGUCUCUUGUUUCUUUUCUAGGAGCCUGAAGCAUACAAUCAACAUGGGAAGUGAGGAGUCAGAUGCUGUGGGAUAGGUGACAAUGAGAGGCAACCUGGCUUUAAAGCUGCAAGGCUGUUUAGUGUCAAUCAAGUGUAACAUACUGCACAUGCCUCGGCUCCAAACAACAACAGCUCUUAUCGGAGUGCCGAGGAUUUUCGAUGCAGAAAGAAUGGAUGUCAAGAAAUAGUAUUUAAGUCAGCAGCCUGUGCUUUCGUCUCAUAUCCUUCUCUGCUGUCUUAAAUAUUGAAUCGCAUCUUGCAAAUUGCUGCCGUGCUAAUUCUAGCUAGUGCACCUUUUGCCAUUCCGAUUGCCUAUCAUUUCCAGGAGUUAUAGCAAUUGUUUUAUGUAUUGUAUUUUUUUCCAUUUGCAAUGCUGAAUGAUGAAUCUUAGCUUCCCUGCUGGGUAGAUAUCCUCAACAGCUAAGAGCCCUUUUCUUGGAUGCAGAGAUUUCUGUAUCCAUGUGGCCAUAGUUUAAUCUCAUCCAAUUAAAAUAAGAGCCCAAAUGCGAGUGUUGCUUUCCAUAAUACUUCUUGCAGUAUAUAUUACAUAGUGUUCUGUGGAUGAGAUAUGAAAUUCUUCAUGCAGUCCUAUCUGUCAGAAAUUAUAGCUUAUUGUUUGACUUAUUUGGUUUAUGCAUUGCAAUCAAAUUGAUUUGACCAGGACAGAAAACAGACUGAACUGUUAGCUUCCUCUGAUUGUGUUUACAGAAUGAAAUGGAAAUAAAAUGAUUGCAGUAAAACAUUGCAGAAUCUUGUCCUCUAUUCUGGAUUCCAAUCCUGUCUUCCAUUCCAUUCCUCAUCCCCAU